rfam:Gossypium hirsutum cultivar TM-1 unplaced genomic scaffold scaffold568.1, whole genome shotgun sequence
UAUUAAAAAAUUCAUCCAUUUCUACUACUAAAAAUCGGUGUAAUUGACAAAAUAAUUAGACAAUUACACGUGGCGCCACUAUACCUCAUGUUGAUGUACAAUGACCAAUUUUUUACAGUAAAAAUGGAUGAAAUUUUUAAUA